AGCAGCCGCGGUAAUUCCAGCUCCAAUAGCGUAUAUUAAAGUUGUUGCAGUUAAAAAGCUCGUAGUUGAAUUUCGGAAUCGACGGAUUGGUCGCGCCUUUGGUGUGUACUGGUCUUGCCGGUUUCUCCCUUCUGACGAACCACGAUGUCAUUAAUUUGGUGUCGUGGGGAAUCAGGACUGUUACUUUGAAAAAAUUAGAGUGUUUAAAGCAGGCAUUAGCUUGAAUACAUUAGCAUGGAAUAAUGAAAUAGGACGUUUGAUCUUAUUUUGUUGGUUUCUAGGAUCGACGUAAUGAUUAAUAGGGAUAGUUGGGGGCAUUAGUAUUCAAUUGUCAGAGGUGAAAUUCUUGGAUUUAUUGAAGACUAACUACUGCGAAAGCAUUUGCCAAGGAUGUUUUCAUUAAUCAAGAACGAAAGUUAGGGGAUCGAAGACGAUCAGAUACCGUCGUAG
rnacentral:rRNA from 1 species